rnacentral:rRNA from 1 species
CCUACGGGCGGCAGCAGUGAGGAAUAUUGGUCAAUGGGCGCGAGCCUGAACCAGCCAAGUCGCGUGAGGGAAGACGGUCCUAUGGAUUGUAAACCUCUUUUGUCGGGGAGCAAAAGACGCCACGUGUGGCGUUCCGAGAGUACCCGAAGAAAAAGCAUCGGCUAACUCCGUGCCAGCAGCCGCGGUAAUACGGAGGAUGCGAGCGUUAUCCGGAUUUAUUGGGUUUAAAGGGUGCGCAGGCGGAAGAUCAAGUCAGCGGUAAAAUUGAGGGGCUCAACCUCGUCGAGCCGUUGAAACUGGUUGUCUUGAGUGAGCGAGAAGUAUGCGGAAUGCGUGGUGUAGCGGUGAAAUGCAUAGAUAUCACGCAGAACUCCGAUUGCGAAGGCAGCAUACCGGCGCUCAACUGACGCUCAUGCACGAAAGUGUGGGUAUCGAACAGGAUUAGAUACCCCGGUAGUC